rnacentral:lncRNA from 10 species
CCUACUAGAUAUUUAAUGUAAUCACCAUGAUAAUGGCUAAGAUUUAUUAAGCAUCUGCUAUGUGCUUUAUGGUGCUAAGAACUUCUCAUGUAUUUACUCAUUGAAUCUUCACAAAAACCUUAUGAAGACGGCUCUCUCAAAUGUUACUGUCUAUAUGAAUCCACCUUGGGAUAUUAGUAAAAUGAGUUUCUGAUACAGAAGAUCUAGAAAGCGCCUGAAAUGCUGAUAUUCUGUCUCCCAGGUGGAGGAGUUCAGCUAUUACCUUGACUUUGCCGAAGUCCUAGGCACUCCCAUGCCCUCAGAGUCUCAUUUUGAAUCCAGGCACUUAGGGAUGCUAUUUUUCCACAUCAAACAGCUUCCUCCCAGCCAAAGAAUUCUGGUGACAGUAGUGAAGAUAAUUUUCACUCCUGCUUACAGAAUGACAAAGCAAAAGCAAAGAGGAGAAGAAUGAAGUAAAGACAACCAAAGGAAAAGACUGAUGGCUCCUUAAGAAUGAUCUUGAUAAAGGAAUGGUGGCUGAGGGGUCCAUCUCCUAAACCACCCACCUUACUGACUCCCUAGAGCAAUGCCAUACAGAAAGCUGCACCUUGAGGGGAAGACACAAGAAUCCUGGAGUGGAAAAAAAUUGGGUAAUGAUGACAGCCUUCGAGGUCUUGAGAGUAAAGCAGAAGCAAAAAAAAAGUGUUAUUUUUAUCUUUUGAAGAUGGUUCCCUCUUAAGACUUUUGCGAAUGAUUAAGAUUUCAAUUAUGUUCCAGGAAAAAAAUAAGAUUUUUGCUUGACAAAAAAAAUUUUUGUCUAGAACAGGUGGGAAGGAAGAGAUAGUUUAGCCACAUCCAAGAGACCUGUAAAUUGGGUACAGUGAAGUGAAUGGUGUACCAGUCAUAAAAGAAUGUUAACUGGAGAAGUCUCUGCUGUCUUCCUGUAACUGAGGGGGGUGUAACCAUCCUUGUGGAAGCGUCCACUUUUAUUGAAGAUUGGCUAAAUAAAUCUGUGCCUACUGAAACUCAAGC